UGGGCCAUGUGAAAACUGUGAGCACAGAGCUCACAGCUGUUCAUUUCAACAGUCAACAGUGGACAACUGCUAGGUUUAUGAAAAAGAUACCCACUGCCAAUGGUUCACAAUGAAGUUCCUGCCAAAUUCAUUGAUGACCACGACACAGAGCUAUCACCCACCUGCUCCAGUCCGCAGGCCGACGCUCUA